rnacentral:rRNA from 1 species
AGGAUGUGGAAUUGCACAGACAACCAGGAUGUUGGCUUAGAAGCAGCCACUCAUUUAAAGAGUGCGUAAUAGCUCACUGGUCGAGUGAUCCUGCGCCGAAAAUUUCCGGGGCUAAAACGUACUACCGAAGCUACGGCAUCAUUUAUGAUGGGUAGGAGAGCUUCCCAUACGGGUUGAAGCAUGACCGAAAGGACAUGUGGACUGUAUGGGAGUGAGAAUGUUGGCAUGAGUAGCGAGAUGUGGGUGAGAAUCCCACAGGCCGUAAACCCAAGGUUUCCAGGGGAAGGUUCGUCCGCCCUGGGUUAGUCAGGACCUAAGCCGAGGCCGAAAGGCGUAGGUGAUGGACAACAGGUUGAUAUUCCUGUACCACCAAUAACCGUUUGAGAAAUGGGAUGACACAGAAGGAUAAGCUAACCGCACUGUUGGUUAUGUGCGGGCAAGUAUUGAGGCAGUUCUGGUAGGCAAAUCCGCCAGAAUAAUGCUAGGGUACGAUGCGGAGCGAAAUUUAGUAGCGAAGUAGCUGAUUUCACACUGUCGAGAAAAGUCUCUAUCGAGGUUAAAGGUGCCUGUACCGCAAACCGACACAGGUGGGUGAGGAGAGUAUCCUAAGGCCAGCCAGAGAACUGUUGUUAAGGAACUCGGCAAAAUGACCCCGUAACUUAGGGAGAAGGGGUGCCUUCGAAAGAAGGCCGCAGAGAAUAGGCCCAAGCGACUGUUUACCAAAAACAUAGGUUUCUGCUAAGUCGCAAGACGAUGUAUAGGAGCUGACGCCUGCCCGGUGCUGGAAGGUUAAGGGGAUCUGUUAGAGCAAUCGAAGCAGUGAACUUAAGCCCCAGUAAACGGCGGCCGUAACUAUAACGGUCCUAAGGUAGCGAAAUUCCUUGUCGGGUAAGUUCCGACCCGCACGAAAGGCGUAACGAUUUGGGCACUGUCUCAACAACAGACUCGGUGAAAUUGUAAUACCGGUGAAGAUGCCGGUUACCUGCGACAGGACGGAAAGACCCCAUGGAGCUUUACUGUAGCUUGACAUUGAGUCUCGGUGCUACAUGUACAGGAUAGGUGGGAGGCUAUGAAGCAUGGACGUCAGUUUGUGUGGAGCCAUCCUUGGGAUACCACCCUUGUAGUACUGGGAUUCUAACCAGCUGCCUUGAAUCAGGUAGUGGGACACUGUCAGGUGGACAGUUUGACUGGGGCGGUCGCCUCCUAAAGAGUAACGGAGGCGCUCAAAGGUUCUCUCAGUACGGUCGGAAAUCGUACGUAGAGUGUAAAGGCAGAAGAGAGCUUGAUUGCAAGACAUACAGGUCGAGCAAGGACGAAAGUCGGACUUAGUGAUCCGGUGGUUCCGCAUGGAAGGGCCAUCGCUCAACGGAUAAAAGCUA